rnacentral:lncRNA from 1 species
AGGCAGUAAAGUUUAUUACAUUAAAACUCAAUGCUGGGUCAGAGGCAUCCACACGGCCCUGAUCUCUGAACCCUGAAGGUGUGGAACCAGAAGCUGCUGUGACUUGCAGGGUCAGGACUUGGGUCUGCCUGCUUUGCAUAGCUAGACUCCUAUGCAUCCCAGUCAAAAGCAGCUGUUGCUUUCUGUGGCCAUAUGGCACUGCUCCUCACAGAGCAGCGCCUGUGGAAGGAUCUUCCAACAGCACAUGGACAUAUGUCCCUGACGUCCACACCCGGGGCUACCAGGAAGCCCCAGGGCUGCAUCUGGCUCCUCACAUCCUUUUCCUCAUCUUGCCCUUCCUGGAGGGCGCACCCCGGCCAAAGGCGCCCUGGCGCAGCUCCUGGGCUCGGCGGCGGUUGCGUGCUGAAAGCUGCUUCAGGCCCCCUCGCUGCAGGAAGCGCUGCUUCUGGGCUUGCCGGCGCUGCUUGAGGAUUUGCUCCUUGGUCUUGAGUUCCGAGCGCAUGCGGCCUGCGGGUACACUGGAAGCUCGGGGCUGGGAUGUGCCUGUCAACACAGGGAUUUGGGGGGAGCUCAGCCUUGGACCCGUGUUUAUCCCUGUGCCUCACCGUGCCUGACUUUCUUCCUGUUCACACCAUACCACCUGCCCUGCCCACCUUGACUACGACCUCGCUUUCCACCUCUGCGGGGCCCAGGGCCUCGCUGGUUGGAUGGCCCUUCUUCUUCGGAGUCCCGGUCAUCAAUUUUCUGCUUCUGCUUCCACUUCUGGUAGCUGAAAGCCUCGUUAAGGAAGUAACAAGUAGCACCCAAGUUGGAGAAAGGCCCCUUAUUAGGGGGAUGCUGAGGGAGCCACUGGGUCCCAUCACAAGCGCAGCCCCCCCUCCUAUAGGAGCAGCAGCAAGACACCUGCCCCCGCCCCCAGGCGCAGCCCCUCCUAUAGGGACAGCAGCAUGACACCCGGCCCCGCCCCUAGACCCGGCCCCCUCCUAUAGGAGCAGCAGCAGGUAGCCACCUGGCCCUGCCCCUCCGCAUCCCAACCUCUCAGGAUACAGAUCCCGCUUAUAAGAACUGCUGAUAAACCGGCCGCUCUCCGUCUUGAUCUUUUUCUUGUCUUCUUGGCCUGACUGCCCCACAAACCGCUUCUUCUUCCGGUCCCUGAAAGUGAGAUGGGAGCUUCUACUUUGAGGAACCCGUCCCCUCACUUAUGGGUCAAGUGUAGUCAGUAGAGGAUUAAAGGGAAACAGCCAGCC